GCUAGAGGCCCGGGGCAAACUAGAGCUUCUAACUCAAGUUAGGAGGUUCGACUCCUCCAUCUAACU
rnacentral:tRNA from 1 species